rnacentral:rRNA from 1 species
AGAAUCAACGCUGGCGGCGUGCCUAACACAUGCAAGUCGAACGAGAAAGGGGGCAAUCCCUGAGUACAGUGGCGACCGGGUGAGUAACACGUGACUAACCUACCCUCGAGUGUGGAAUAACAUCGGGAAACCGAUGCUAAUACCGCAUAACAUCGCAAGAUCAAAGGAGUAAUCCGCUUGAGGAGGGGUCGCGGCUGAUUAGCUAGUUGGCGGGGUAAUGGCCCACCAAGGCGAAGAUCGGUA